AGUGAACGCUGGCGGCGUGCUUAACACAUGCAAGUCGAACGAGAACGGAUUAUAGCUUGCUAUAAUUGUCAGCUAAGUGGCGCACGGGUGAGUAAUGUAUAGGUAAUAUGCCUCUUACUAAGGGAUAACAAAUGGAAACGUUUGCUAAUACCUUAUACUCCUUAUUAACAUAAGUUAAUAAGGGAAAGAUUUAUUGGUAAGAGAUUAGCCUGUAUUGUAUCAGUUAGUUGGUGGGGUAAUGGCUUACCAAGACUAUGACACAUAACUGGUUUGAGAGGAUGAUCAGUCACACUGGAACUGAGACACGGUCCAGACUCCUACGGAGGCAGCAGUGGGGAAUAUUGCACAAUGGACGAAAGUCUGAUGCAGCAACGCCGCGUGGAGGAUGACACAUUUUCGGUGCGUAAACUCCUUUUAAUAUGAGAAGAUAAUGACGGUAUUAUAUGAAUAAGCACCGGCUAACUCCGUGCCAGCAGCCGAC
rnacentral:rRNA from 1 species